rnacentral:rRNA from 1 species
CCUACGGGUGGCAGCAGUGAGGAAUAUUGGUCAAUGGACGCAAGUCUGAACCAGCCAUGCCGCGUGCAGGAAGACGGCUCUAUGAGUUGUAAACUGCUUUUGUACGAGGGUAAACGCAGAUACGCGUAUCUGUCUGAAAGUAUCGUACGAAUAAGGAUCGGCUAACUCCGUGCCAGCAGCCGCGGUAAUACGGAGGAUUCAAGCGUUAUCCGGAUUUAUUGGGUUUAAAGGGUGCGUAGGCGGUCGGAUAAGUUAGAGGUGAAAUCCCGAGGCUCAACUUCGGAAUUGCCUCUGAUACUGUUCGGCUAGAGAGUAGUUGCGGUAGGCGGAAUGUAUGGUGUAGCGGGGAAAUGCUUAGAGAUCAUACAGAACACCGAUUGCGAAGGCAGCUUACCAAGCUACUUCUGACGUUGAGGCACGAAAGCGUGGGGAGCGAACAGGAUUAGAUACCCGGGUAGUC